rnacentral:rRNA from 1 species
GACGAACGCUGGCGGCGUGCUUAACACAUGCAAGUCGAACGGAAGGGCCCGGCUUUUGUGUGGUUCUCGUUUGGCGAGCGGGUGAGUAACACGUGUGUAACCUGCCCUUGACUUUGUGAUAACUUCAGGAAACUGGGGCGAUUACCGGAGAGGAGCUCCUGCUGCAUGUGGGGGGUUGGAAAGUUUCGGCGGUUGGGGAUGGACUCGCGGCUUAUCAGCUUGUUGGUCUGGUAGGUGCUGACCACGUCUUUGACGGGUAGGCGGCCUGGGAGGGGGACCGGCGACAUUGGGACUGCGAUACGGACCAGACUGGUACGGGCGGCAACAGUGGAGAACAUUGCGCAACGGGCCGAAGCGUGAUGUAGAAACGUCGCGUGCGGGAUGAUGGCUUUCGGGUUGUAAACAGAUUUCGAAUGUGCCGAAGAGUGAGUGACGGUAACGGGUAAAAAAGCAACGGCUAACUACGUG